rnacentral:rRNA from 1 species
CCUACGGGAGGCAGCAGUGAGGAAUAUUGGUCAAUGGGCGCGAGCCUGAACCAGCCAAGUAGCGUGAAGGAUGACUGCCCUACGGGUUGUAAACUUCUUUUGUAAAGGAAUAAAGUUAGGCACGUGUGCCUUUUUGUAUGUACUUUACGAAUAAGGAUCGGCUAACUCCGUGCCAGCAGCCGCGGUAAUACGGAGGAUCCGAGCGUUAUCCGGAUUUAGUGGGUUUAAAGGGUGCGUAGAUGGGUUGUUAAGUCAGUUGUGAAAGUUUGGGGCUCAACUGUAAAAUUGCAAUUGAUACUGGCAGGCUUGAGUACAGUUGAGGUAGGCGGAAUGCGUGGUGUAGCGGUGAAAUGCUUAGAUAUCACGCAGAACUCCGAUUGCGAAGGCAGCUUACUAAACUGCCACUGACAUUGAUGCUCGAAAGUGUGGGUAUCAAACAGGAUUAGAUACCCGGGUAGUC